AGAAAAAUUGAUUUAUCUUUGCUCUUUGUUUCAGUAGCACCAGGCUGAGAAAAGACAAGCCUAUUACCUGUGUCUGGCUUUGAAACCCAGUUCUAGGAACAAAGCCAAAAAAGACAAGUUUUCUGUAUUGGCAUGUACAAUUCAGAAAUAUGGAUGGAAACAUGCAGAUUGAAUUGGUAUGUAUCUCACCCCUUGUGAUCAUUGCCUCCACUUCAAUCUCAAUCUGGGUCAUACCACACUCAAAUGUGACAAAUAUCUUUCCCGAGGUGCCAAAAAUUCAAGGUUUGACUGUUAAAAUGAAAAUAUCCCUGGACUAUAGUGCCAAUACUGAACAGGCAUUUCAUUUCACUCAGUUUUCUCUCACAGAAAGCAGGGUCUGAUGGCUUCCCUUAUUUCUUGAAAUAAGAUAUCAAAUUGCUGAACCAAUGUCCAUUGCAGAUACAAGAAUCAUAAAUACCUACCUGGAUGAGCUCAAAAAUCAAGUUCACCAUCUUAGCUGCAAUGAACAUUUUAGAAGCAGAUGCAAGACACCAUGAAGAUAUGGACUGGGCAGGAGGUGGAUCAGCCCCUUCUAAAUAAAAACUGAUUUUAAAUCCUGGCAGUCUUACAGAUCCUUUCCAAAUGUUUAACAAGUGUAGGUAGAAAUGCCAUCUAAUGUUACUGAAAAGAGGUCUUGAAAAUUUAUACAAUUUUCUGCACUGCUUCACCAAGACCCUUUGACAAUUCUGUAAAUGUAGUAAGGAAGUACAUAUGCCACAUGAUUUAUCACUUUGGAACAUGACCUUUCAAUUGCCCCAUCUCUUCCCCUUCUACAAAGCCUCAUGCAGACCAGCACAGCUUCAUGGUGUUCCUUUCUACCCUGCCACCCCUAAUACAAUCUAUCCUCUGAUUUGCCCAAUCUUUAUUUCAUUUUUGAGCACCUUUCAUUUCUUUAUAGAGCACCUGUUUUUACACAGGAAAAUCUGUUCUGUACACUGUAUUUAUUCCACAUGACCUAUUAUUUUUUUCUGUUCAUCAAGGAUUUUUUUAUGCAUUCUUGAACAAAGUUUCAGUAAUUGUCCACAAAAGAAUGGCAGGUGAUUUUCAUUUUUACCAGAGUAUAGGAAUAGCUUGUCUAAUUUCAGCAACUAAGUGAUCUAAACCUGUUAUUAAUAUAUGCAUAUAUAUAUAUAUAUUUAAAUAUGUACUGCUAAUUAGAAUAUAUAGUAUCUAAUGAAAGAAUACCCAAGCUCAUUUUGAAUGUUAUAAAAAUAGUUCUGCAUAUAUUGGCUGAUUCACGGAAGGGGUCUUAUUCUGGUUGAAUUAGCAAUGCAGAUCUGGAAGCUCCAUUUCCAAAAAGAGAAUUCACACCUUUAGUCUCAUUGCUACAAAUGCUGAAGUCACUUUAAAGAUUGGAACUUGGUUUUUUGUAGGUUUUAUUUAAAAUUUAAAGGCCUUUAAAACACUGUUAUUCAUCAACUAAUUGAGUGACAUUAGUUAUGAACGUUUUUUCAUUAGUUCAGAGUGCGUAUCUUCAAUUAGGUUAUUACUGCUGUAUUCACUCCUUGUUUCUUCAGUGGUUUGAAAAUCAGAAUGGACAUUCUGUGGUCUGCACGUGCACAAGUGCCUGAGUUGCAUCAAGACCAUCAGAUUUUACAGCAGUUUCAUUACUGACUUGUGUGUGCUGGGGCAGAAGGCCAAUAGAUGCAUCUGUAUUUUGAUCCUUAAUGCCGAUCCAUAUUUAGAGGUGAAACCUUUUCUCCUGAGAACUCUGCUUCUACGGUUACAAAGUAGGUUAGACAAAUGAACACUUGCAGUGUAUAUGCCAUUAAGUUCAUUAUGGGAUGGUAUCAAAUACAAGCUGUGUCUCUUAAAAGAAUUUACUGCAGAAAUGCUUCUUUUAGCACACUCUAACUAAAAGACAAAAUAAAUAACUUUUCUACUAGUGUAAAGAGCAUUGCAAAAGGGAAUCUGUCUGCUAGCUGAAGUUCAUUUGCCCAAGUCAUCAAGCUAAAACAUGCCAGACUUCCACUCCCAGUGCAGAAGAUUUCAAUCUCGUAAAUGUAAUAAUACAUCUCACAGCUCUGCAAUUGUUUUCUGAUGUUAGAAGUAAACUAUGAAUCACCCACUCCUCAGGUCUCUAAUGCAAACAUCUUGGAAAAACAUUAUGUAGUGCCUCAAAACAUCUGAGCUCCUCUAAGCACCACAGAAACUUCUACACAAUAUAUCAUAAAAAAAAUUCACUUCCAUUUCAUCACCAGAGCAAAAAUGGCUGAAGUCAUAAAGCAGAGCACCAUCCCUGCCUUACAGAGGAGUCACUCAAAGGAAGCUCAAGACCACACCAGCAAAUAUGAAGCUUUCAUCAUUCCUGAGGAACCUGAUGGGAAAGGGAUAUUGGAGAGAACAGAAAACAGAAUAGGCUUCCAUAUUCCAGACCAGAGAGUUAUCACAGACCUACAGUAUGCUGUGUGUGGGUAAUGAGAAAAAAUUGCCUUUUCUUCAUUGCUACACUCAAGAGCCCUGGUACAUUUUUGAGUUUCUGAAAGCUGAGCCGUUCAAGUAUCACUGCUGACCUGGAAAGGCAAAGCCCUUCAUUACCAAGUACCAUCAAUCAUCUUAAUUGUUCACUCUAGACAUUUAUCCUUUCAUUGCAGGCACCAACUGCUCUGGAAGUUUAGCCUUCUAUACUACAGUGACCCCUUUUGAUAUAUUCAAAGAAACUCCCACUGACAUGAAAUAGAUAAGAAAUGAAUGGAAGAGUAGAACAAAUAGCUACCAAGAUACAAAGUAAGGUCCUAAAGGCUUCAGCACCUGAGAAGUGCAGUAUGACCCAGCUUACUUCCCUGUGUUCUGGAGGCUGCUUAGCAAGAACCCACGGUAAUGGAAAGACGGGAAUGUGUGGAAUAAAUAAUGGCAAGUGUGCUAUAGUCCAGCCAGGCAAAGCUUCCAGGGCAGCUCGUAUGCACUGCAUUAGGCAACAUAAAUAUAUUCUAGUCUGCUGGUAUUUGGUAUUUUUCUCUUUUAGACAGCUCCAUUCUUGCAUCUACUCUAAUUAUUUUGCCUCUCUUCUGUGGGAAUGCUCUGCACUAGCAUUGUCAGCUUUCAUUACACAACUCAAGGAAAUUUCAGUUUUACUGACAUUUUCUGUAUAAGCAAAACAAAUCCCACCAAGUGAAACAACGAGGUUUUGGAAAUAAGUGAACUAAACUCUUCUGUUUCUCUUUCCCAGCUUUGCAAGUUGACAUAGACUUUGACAAAGUGAUAAGUAUCUCAGAAUAACUUGGUUGGGAAUCUUAUCAUUCGUUUCCAAGGGGAAAGAGGAACACGCCACAGUAUGAUGAAGAUUUUUAACCAGACAGAUGUACUUAUUAAAACUCUACAAAACUGAGGUAGUCCUUUCUAUCAUUUCCACUCCACACUGAGUGGAUGGGGAGUGUUAAUCUCUAGGUGCUCAAAGUUAGAAGUCUCUAAAUAUCAAUGCACAUUGUCUUAAGCACUGCCCUCUCAAAGCAUUUCAGUUCCAUGAAUCUUCACAAACAGCACAGCUGCAAACGGUUCACAAAAUGUACAGCAUUAUGUUUUCCUAUUAACAUAUUUUUCCCAUUAACUUAUUUUUCUACCCAUUGCUAGGAUCAUUGCAACUUAAUUUACAGUAUUUUCUUCUUCAUACAGAUCCUUGAGACCUACUCACAACUACCAAAAUGAUCAAUAGCUAAAUCAAGGAGAGGAAAAGAAAAGAGGUGAUGUAAAACACCUUGGAAUGUUUCUUUUACUCUGGCAAUCUGUCCCUGGGACUGGAUGGGCACCCUGGGACUUCCAUCCUGCUCUCAGCCAGUGAUAAUCUCAGGUUUCAUGUUGGAAGCAUAUAGCUCUGUGAUAUCUCUGGUGCAACGUAAGAGUGCUCAUGAGAUCCUACAGAUUCAUUUUGUAUUUCUACUACUGGUGUUAUGCUUCUGAGAAAAGAAAGGAGUAAGAAUUUUUUUUCCCGUUCUUCCUCUGUUUUGCUCUCUGCCAUAAAGAGGGCAAAGCAAUGUGCAUGUAUCUGCACUAGAGGCAGAAAAAUAAUUUGUGGAAAGGACUACCCAAGAAGUGAAUGGAAGAAGUUGUAUACCAAAGAGAGAGGACAUAAUACUGUAACAGCCACUGGACAGGUAUGGUUAAAGAUUCUUUAAGAAUCUUUCAAGAACUCUUUUAACUGCAACUUGUAUUUCCAAGUUUGGUCAUGUAUAACCAGCGUUUCAAAGUUGUUUUCUGUUUAUUUUCUUUAAGAUCAUAAGCCUGGGAAGCUGCUUUAGGGAGGACACAAGAGAUGCAGUUUGGCACUGUGGAGACCCUGCAAACAAAAUAUGUUUUAUCCCAUUUCCUGCUAUUUCAAGUAUACUUUCCUAUUUAUCUGACUACUUGCACAGAAAGAUGUCAAACUAUUUUCUCCUACACUGAACGUGACAAAUUUUGAACAGAGAAUUCCUAUCACUUCAGGACAGAGCAUGUGCUGCUUUUUAGGGGAAUUUUUUGGAUUGACAAUUCUUAAGGAGGUUCUACACAAGACACUAUUCUAUUGCUUGUCUUUGGAACUAAGAAGAACAACUCAAAGUUUCCUCCUGUUUCUUUGAAGACAUUGUAUUUGCAGUGGAAAAAAUUAAGAUAUGGCACUCUUCUAGAUUCAAUUCUUACUUUUGCUGUAGUGAACACUAAUCCCAGAGAAGCAGGGAAAAUGUUUAGGAACAGAGCUGAGGUUUUCAGGAAAUUAUUUCUGAAUUUCAAAUAAUCCCUAAUAAAUCAAAGUCAUAAACACAGCACAUCUACUUUGUAAUAGUAAGUUGCCAUUAACAAAUGCUUGCUAUGGGUCAGGUCUGACUGAGUACUGCAGCUCUCUAGUCAAGACUGUGUCCAGUUCCAUCGUGUACCAGAAGAAGACGGUGGUUAAAUCAUUUGAUUUGGACCAGAUAUUUUCCUUGCUGUACAGAACUCAUGCAUCUGAGAGUAAACACUUCCACAUCACAACUUCUUCCCCCACAACAGAUUUCUAAGUUAAGGCUAUUAUCUACUGGGGACAGACUAUAAGAGCAAUUCAGGUCCAGGAUUACUCUCACAGCUACACCGUGCAAUCAAUACUCGCUCUGAACUGCUUCAUACCUCAGAGAUCACUGACUUACACAGUGGUGACAAUGGCAUCUGUAGGCUCCCCUUCUGACCUUAUCCACUGUCCCUGGUUUUUGGUCUCAGCUUUCACCCACAGCAGUCAGGCACCAGCAGCAGCUGAGACACCACAAGCUCGCUCUCCAACCACCACAACUGUUGGGUUACUGCUCUUGUGAAAUCUCUGCAGAACUGGGCUCUGGUCCCAGCUCAUCAGUGAUAAAGGAUGCAACCUCACAGAAAUUAGCGUUUUAAUUUGUCAUGUAAUCUGUCAAUAUAACUGGAAGAAACAUUUUUCAUCGAAGACUUGUGCAACUGUUGAAACACAAAAGCAGGGAAAAAAACCCCAAAUAACCAAAAACUGGUUAAACUUUAAUUUAACAAGAUAAUUUCUGGAAAAACCAUUUUGCUCCAAACAACUUACAGCAUCAAGUGAAGUAUCAGAUGUGAACAUCAACGAUCAACUUAUUUGAAUGAGGGGAAAAGUAAGGUUCAAGAUUAAAAAUUUAGACUUUAGGUAGGUGAAAAGUUUCCUUAUUUAAACAAUUGUGUGAUUUUGCAAUGGCAUAUUCAAGAGGAAUUAGUAUCACUGCUACACUUGUUAAAGGAAUAUUCAUUGCCACAUUUGCACAACCAAGAACAUACUGAAAUAAUACUGCACCUUCCAAAUAAUUCCUAGUUACACAAGGUUAUGUGGGAAAAUGAAUCCAAAGAACAGAAUGCACAGUAAAAAAACAGAAUGAUGCCAAAUAGGCCUCCUGAUGUCCAAGGCAGUAAUGAAGUAGAGGUAACUCAUACUAAGAGGUUACAUUAUCACAAAUGUUAGCACUGCUAUAAAGUUAGAUCUUCCAUGGGUUAUAUUUCUACUCAAUAUAUUUAGAUUUGAGCAGUGUAGACUCUCUAAAUUUGAGUGGUGUGAAACCUUAAUUGAAGUGUCCUGAGAAAUUGCAGGUGGAUGGCAGAGCUCUCCUAAGGUCAGAGCUGGGACUUCUGCAGUAUUUAACACUUUAAAAGGAGCUGUGAGAGCUUUAGUACUUCUAGAAUUCUCUACACCAAACCCACCUGAGCUUAUACACUUCUCCCAGCAGCUGAGGAUUUAAUUAAAAGCUGAAGUGUACCCAGAAAGUUAAUAAAACAGCAAGCAAUACCUAGUGAUUCAAUAAUGUAUGUGUGUAAUUUUGUUUAGCCCAAUGAAAAUGCAGGAAAGAUAAGGCUACUAAUAAAGAACUGGAAUGAAUAAUGAAAGGGUCUGUACUAACAUCCAGUAUGUGUUGCAUUAAUUGUAACAGUUCUCCUGGAUUCUGCAUGUAGUUUGACUUCAUCACAUAUUGAAUAUGAUUCCAGGUUUAACUUUCAGUCUAUUUCCUGAGUUGUAUUAUUUAUGCCCUGGGUUUCAGUAGCUUCCAAGAGGUUGCACCACAGUGAUCUACAGUCUGAGAGCAGUUAGGCUGGCUGGCCAAACAAGAGAGAAGCUGCUCUACUUCUUCUAAACCUAAAUGAAAUGUGUUUUAUGUCUUCAUUCCUUAUUUACACCUUCUGUUCAGGGUCUCUAAGAUUACAGCUUCUGCUCCAUGAAAGUCUUCUGUUACUGCAGCCUCUUGCAAUCUAUGUCAAGAGUAAUUCUUCUCCUAAUCACAGGAAAACAGAGCUCCAUUCAGAAGCCCCAUUCACAACACAAACGAAAACAAAUGCUUAGAGCAAUGUACACUUCCACUAUUCAGUUUUUUUUUCUUUUGGUGUAGACUUAAAAGAUAUUCCUGUCUCCUGUGUGUUCAGAAUAUGGCAGGACCCCCAUAUAUGACUUGUGCCUGUAACUUGCAAAACUUUCAUCAGUUUGGGAAUGUUUAACAGCUUUGAACACCUCUGUAAGUAUUUGCAUUUCAAUACGUAUAAAGAUGCCGUAAAUAAAUAUAUUACUUUUAAAAAC